rnacentral:tRNA from 1 species
AUUUAGAUAGUUAAAUAAUAAUGUCUGCUUUGUAAGCUUAAGUUUUCUAAGUA